rnacentral:tRNA from 1 species
GUCACUUUGCCGGAGUGGUUAACGGGAUCGCCUGCUACCUUGUGGCAUAUAGCGGUUGGGCUUUGCCCGCGAGUGUUCGAAUCGCUCAGGUGACG